rnacentral:rRNA from 1 species
AGUGAACGCUGGCGGUAGGCCUAACACAUGCAAGUCGAACGGCAGCACAGGAGAGCUUGCUCUCUGGGUGGCGAGUGGCGGACGGGUGAGGAAUACAUCGGAAUCUACUCUGUCGUGGGGGAUAACGUAGGGAAACUUACGCUAAUACCGCAUACGACCUACGGGUGAAAGCAGGGGAACUUCGGGCCUUGCGCGAUUGAAUGAGCCGAUGUCGGAUUAGCUAGUUGGCGGGGUAAGGGCCAACCAAGGCGACGAUCCGUAGCUGGUCUGAGGGGAUGAUCAGCCACACUGGAACUGAGACACGGUCCAGACUCCUACGGGAGGCAGCAGUGGGGAAUAUUGGACAAUGGGCGCAAGCCUGAUCCAGCCAUACCGCGUGGGUGAAGAAGGCCUUCGGGUUGUAAAGCCCUUUUGUUGGGAAAGAAAUCCAGCUGGCUAAUACCCGGUUGGGAUGACGGUACCCAAAGAAUAAGCACCGGCUAACUUCGUGCCAGCCGCCGCCGUAA